AUUGAACGCUGGCGGCAUGCCUAACACAUGCAAGUCGAACGGCAGCGCGGGUAGCAAUACCUGGCGGCGAGUGGCGGACGGGUGAGGAAUACAUCGGAAUCUACCCAGUCGUGGGGGAUAACGCAUCGAAAGGUGCGCUAAUACCGCAUACGACCGAGAGGUGAAAGCGGAGGACCGAAAGGCUUCGCGCGAAUGGAUGAGCCGAUGUCGGAUUAGCUAGNGGCGGGGUAAGAGCCCACCAAGGCGACGAUCCGUAGCUGGUCUGAGAGGAUGAUCAGCCACACUGGGACUGAGACACGGCCCAGACUCCUACGGGAGGCAGCAGUGGGGAAUAUUGGACAAUGGGC
rnacentral:rRNA from 1 species